CAGCAGCCGCGGGAAUACGGAGGGUGCAAGCGUUAAUCGGAAUUACUGGGCGUAAAGCGCACGCAGGCGGUCUGACAAGUCAGAUGUGAAAUCCCCGGGCUUAACCUGGGAACUGCAUUUGAAACUGUCAGGCUGGAGUCUUGUAGAGGGGGGUGGAAUUCCAGGUGUAGCGGUGAAAUGCGUAGAGAUCUGGAGGAAUACCGGUGGCGAAGGCGGCCCCCUGGACAAAGACUGACGCUCAGGUGCGAAAGCGUGGGGACCAAACAGGAUUAGAUACCCCAGUAGUCCCUGUCUCUUAUAC
rnacentral:rRNA from 1 species